rnacentral:rRNA from 1 species
UCCCCGGGNUCAACCUGGGAACUGCGUUNUGAACUGGGUGACUAGAGUGUGUCAGAGGGAGGUAGAAUUCCACGUGUAGCAGUGAAAUGCGUAGAGAUGUGGAGGAAUACCGAUGGCGAAGGCAGCNUCCUGGGAUAACACUGACGUUCAUGCCCGAAAGCGUGGGUAGCAAACAGGAUUAGAUACCCUGGUAGUCCACGCCCUAAACGAUGUCGAGUAGCUGUUGGGCAGCAUGACUACUUAGUAGCGAAGCUAACGCGUGAAAUCGACCGCCUGGGGAGUACGGUCGCAAGAUUAAAACUCAAAGGAAUUGACGGGGACCCGCACAAGCGGUGGAUGAUGUGGAUUAAUUCGAUGCAACGCGAAGAACCUUACCUGGUCUUGACAUGUACGGAACCCUCCAGAGACGGAGGGGUGCCUUCGGGAGCCGUAACACAGGUGCUGCAUGGCUGUCGUCAGCUCGUGUCGUGGGAUGUUGGGUUAAGUCCCGCAACGAGCGCAACCCUUGUCAUUAGUUGCCAUCAUUAAGUUGGGCACUCUAAUGAGACUGCCGGUGACAAGCCGGAGGAAGGUGGGGAUGACGUCAAGUCCUCAUGGCCCUUAUGACCAGGGCUUCACACGUCAUACAAUGGUCGGUACAGAGGGUAGCCAAGCCGCGAGGUGGAGCCAAUCUCACAAAACCGAUCGUAGUCCGGAUUGCACUCUGCAACUCGAGNGCAUGAAGUCGGAAUCGCUAGUAAUCGCAGGUCAGCAUACUGCGGUGAAUACGUUCCCGGGUCUUGUACNCA